AUUGAACGCUGGCGGCAUGCCUUACACAUGCAAGUCGAACGGCAGCACGGGUGCUUGCACCUGGUGGCGAGUGGCGAACGGGUGAGUAAUACAUCGGAACAUGUCCUGUAGUGGGGGAUAGCCCGGCGAAAGCCGGAUUAAUACCGCAUACGAUCUACGGAUGAAAGCGGGGGCCCUUCGGGCCUCGCGCUAUAGGGUUGGCCGAUGGCUGAUUAGCUAGUUGGUGGGGUAAAGGCCUACCAAGGCGACGAUCAGUAGCUGGUCUGAGAGGACGACCAGCCACACUGGGACUGAGACACGGCCCAGGCUCCUACGGGAGGCAGCAGUGGGGAAUUUUGGACAAUGGGCGAAAGCCUGAUCCAGCAAUGCCGCGUGUGUGAAGAAGGCCUUCGGGUUGUAAAGCACUUUUGUCCGGAAAGAAAUCCUUGGCCCUAAUACGGUCGGGGGAUGACGGUACCGGAAGAAUAAGCACCGGCUAACUACGUG
rnacentral:rRNA from 1 species